GUUGUGAAGUUUGGUCUCACACCUGCGGUUAGGGUCAUUCGUAGCAAGCUUGUGUUCAGUUCUGUAGAAAGCAGGGAACCGCGGCCACCCCAAGCUGCAAUGAACGUCUGCUUCAGCGUGGUUAUUCAGUAAAGAGAGAGGCCAGGCCACGAGAGCGCGUCCAGACCCAACAGAUGGAAGCUGCCAGGAGACCAAUUUAGACUUGAUUAAAGUGCAAUAUGGGGAAAGCAGUUGAAAAUGCCGGGAAGAAGAGAUGACUCUUAAUCCCUGC